rnacentral:rRNA from 1 species
AUUGAACGCUGGCGGCAGGCCUAACACAUGCAAGUCGAGCGGAUGACGGGAGCUUGCUCCUUGAUUCAGCGGCGGACGGGUGAGUAAUGCCUAGGAAUCUGCCUGGUAGUGGGGGACAACGUUUCGAAAGGAACGCUAAUACCGCAUACGUCCUACGGGAGAAAGCAGGGGACCUUCGGGCCUUGCGCUAUCAGAUGAGCCUAGGUCGGAUUAGCUAGUUGGUGAGGUAAUGGCUCACCAAGGCGACGAUCCGUAACUGGUCUGAGAGGAUGAUGAGUCACACUGGAACUGAGAAACGGUCCAGACUCCUACGGGAGGCAGCAGUGGGGAAUAUUGGACAAUGGGCGAAAGCCUGAUCCAGCCAUGCCGCGUGUGUGAAGAAGGUCUUCGGAUUGUAAAGCACUUUAAGUUGGGAGGAAGGGCAGUAAGCUAAUACCUUGCUGUUUUGACGUUACCGACAGAAUAAGCACCGGCUAACUCUGUGCCAGCCGCCGCAGUAA